AUGGGAGUGCUCCCGUCCCUGACCCACCGCGGGGGCCGCGUCAGCUCGGGCAGGGCCCGGGAAGGCCGAGGGAUGCCAGCCCCACACCGGGCCCACCCCGACUCGCCGUGGCUGGCACCGCAGGAGGGGGUUCCCGCCCGGAACACCCAGGAUGAGGUGUCCAGCUGCACCGGCCAUCUCCACGUGGCUCCAUGCCAUUCCCAGAAGCGCCACCAAGGCCUUGCUGGGACGGACGGCACAGCUGGAGCCAGCAGAGAUGCGCAGCUCCCGCAGCACGGCGGUGCCUCAGUUUCCCCUCGGGACGCUGCAGCGGGACCGCAGUGUGGGGCAUCCAAGCGAGCACGAAGGAGCAGCAGCAGCAGCCCCACAGCUCGGCCCUGCCACCCCGCUGCUUGCCCCCGGGCAUGCGGCCGCUCCGGCGCCACGGCGGGGGUGGCUCUGGGGGGCUGGAGCCCAUCCCAGCCCCGUCACCGCACGCAAGCCGGAAAAGUUCAUCCACAGCCAUCGCAGGCAGGGACUGCCCGAGUGUCCCGGGGCCGGGGUGAGCGGGGCCGGGGGUGCCGGGGGUGCCCGGGGUGCCAGUGCCGAACUGGGGGUGCUGGGGAGGCUGAGGCGCGGAUGGGACUGGCCCUUUCCCAACCGAAAGAAAUCUGGGCUUCAUUAGAGGGAUUGGGAGCGUCCCCGCGGCUCGGAGAAGAGGCCGAGGCACGGCCCGGCCACCGGGGCUGGGCUGGGGGAGGCCGGGAGAGAGCCCUGGCACUGCCAGGCGGGCACAGGGCAGCCAGGGAGGGGAAACGCUGCGCUCCUGGUUAUUCAUUGACGGCGGGAGGGGACGGAGGAGCGCGGAGCAGCCAUCCCAGUGCGUGUGCUCUCACGGUGGUGGCGGGUCCCCCCUUGUCCCCAGCAGCAGCAGCCAGCGGGAGAAGAUGCCCGGCGGGAGCGUGUGGGUGCUGGUGCUGGCGCUGGCGCUGGCACUGCCCAGCACUGGACAGCAGCACCUGGAGGAGGCCGAGCGCAUCAUGA
rnacentral:lncRNA from 1 species